CACCUGACUUUCUAAUACGGUCACCGUGCCCCACCCUGUUUGUUUACAUUCUCCAUGAGCUCAGUAAGCACUAAGUCUCUCCAUUUUGUCUGGAAACUCCAAAAUUUCAAAUGUUUUUAAAAGUUAUUUCAUAUUUUAUAUAUACUCUGAUAAUUAUACUUAUGUAUACCUGUACCUAAAUAAACUUACAUACAUCGAGUCAUUUAAAUGUCGUAUAUUACGUUAAUAUACACAUUUUCAUUAAUCCAUCCAUGAUAUUUUUUUCAAAAUUAUAUAAUAAACAAGAUGCAUAACAUAUAAAUAAGAUAAAUACACCCCACAGUAGAAUAAAUAAACAAAUGUGAGAUGUGAGCAGACGACUUGCACAAGUGGUGAUAAUAACAAUACUGAGUCUCAUUAAAUGUCGUAUAUUACGGUAAUAUACACAUUUUCAUUAAUCCAUCCAUGAUAUUUUUUUCAAAAUUAUAUAAUAAACACGAUGCAUAACAUAUAAAUAAGAUAAAUACACCCCACAGUAGAAUAAAUAAACAAAUGUGAGAUGUGAGCAGACGACUUGCACAAGUGGUGAUAAUAACAAUACUGAGUCUCAUUAAAUGUUGUAUAUUACGGUAAUAUACACAUUUUCAUUAAUCCAGCCAUGAUAUUUUUUUUCAAAAUUAUAUAAUAAACACGAUGCAUAACAUAUAAAUAAGAUAAAUACACCCCACAGUAGAAUAAAUAAACAUAAAUGUGAGCUGUGGAAGCAGACGACUUCCACAAGUGACGCCAUAAUAACAAUAGUCACGGAGUCUCAUUAAAUGUCGUAUAUUACGGUAAUAUACACAUUUUCAUUAAUCCAGCCAUGAUAUUUUUUUCAAAAUUAUAUAAUAAACACGAUGCAUAACAUAUAAAUAAGAUAAAUACACCCCACAGUAGAAUAAAUAAACAUAAAUGUGAGCUGUGGUAGCAGACGACUUCCACAAGUGGUGAUAAUAACAAUAGUCACGGAGUCUCAUUAAAUGUCGUAUAUUACGGUAAUAUACACAUUUUCAUUAAUCCAGCCAUGAUAUUUUUUUCAAAAUUAUAUAAUAAACACGAUACAUAACAUAAAAAGAUGAUAAAUACACCCCACAAUAGAAUAAAUAAACAUAAAUAUAAGAUGUGGGAGCCUGGUUUGUUUACAUAACUCUGCUUCUGUUACCUCAUGUACUCAUUCUUUCUCUCUCUCAUUUAUUCGUUUUAUCUCAUUUACUUACUCCUGACCCUACAUUAAGACUACAAAUAUUUUAAGGUAAGUAAUGAGUGCACUAUGUGUGUAUUGUACCUUUUUAUUGUUUUUUGAUGCCUGGUUCUAUUGCUAACUUAAUAUAUGUUAGUGUAAACUUGUUAUCUAGUGUUUGUAUGCAUUUAUAAGUGGAAAAAAAGGGUGUUCCACUUUACGGCGAUUUCCGCUUUACGGCGGUAGCCUGGAACCUAACCCGCCGUAUAAGUGGGGCCUUCCUGUAUA